rnacentral:rRNA from 1 species
CCCUUAGAUGUUCUGGGCUGCACGCGUGCUACAAUGGCGCUUGCAACAAGUCUUGCCAACCCGAUAGGGUGAGCGGAUCUUUGAAGAGGCGUCGUGAUCGGGACAGUUGAUUGCAAUUAUUCGACUCGAACGAGGAAUUCCUUGUAAUCGCGAUUCAUCAUAUCGCGCUGAACACGUCCCUGCCCUUUGUACACACCGCCCGUCGCUCCUACCGAUUGAGCGAUCCGGUGAAUGUUUUGGACUGGCGUCAGAAGCGGUUCGCUCCUGACACUACGAAAUUUUGUAAACCUUAUCGCUUAGAGGAAGGAAAAGUCGUAACA